rnacentral:rRNA from 1 species
GUGGGGAAUAUUGCACAAUGGGGGAAACCCUGAUGCAGCGACGCCGCGUGAGUGAAGAAGUAUUUCGGUAUGUAAAGCUCUAUCAGCAGGAAAGAAAAUGACGGUACCUGACUAAGAAGCCCCGGCUAACUACGUGCCAGCAGCCGCGGUAAUACGUAGGGGGCAAGCGUUAUCCGGAUUUACUGGGUGUAAAGGGAGCGUAGACGGUUAGUCAAGUCUGAAGUGAAAGCCCGGGGCUCAACCCCGGAACUGCUUUGGAAACUGGUUAACUAGAGUGCAGGAGAGGUAAGUGGAAUUCCUAGUGUAGCGGUGAAAUGCGUAGAUAUUAGGAGGAACACCAGUGGCGAAGGCGGCUUACUGGACUGUAACUGACGUUGAGGCUCGAAGGCGUGGGGAGCAAACAGG